rnacentral:rRNA from 1 species
AUGGCCCUCGGCCACGAGCUCGUCCACCAUGGUUACUCGCAGUCAUCAAAGUGGAGCACGAACAUCAGUCCAAGUAGAAUUGAAGCCACCAUCUUCACCAUUUUCUUAUCAUUCUCACAUUAUUUUCUUGGUGAAUUAGCAAUUACUGCUAUUGUAGAAAGGAGCUUGUUGGUGUUUCUGUUUCUUUUUGAUCUAGAGUGGAAGCUUAUAUAUGUUGGAUCAGCUGAAGAUGAGAACUAUUAUCAGCAACUUGAGAGUGUGCUUGUUGGCCCUAUGAAUGUUGGGACAUACCGUUUUGUUCUGGAGGUACUUGAAAGGUGCAGACUUGGCAGCGAUGUGGUUCAUUCAACAACAGCGCAAUGA